GCAGUCGCCACGGGAAUACGGAGGAUGCGAGCGUUAUCCGGAUUUAUUGGGUUUAAAGGGUGCGUAGGCGGCCUGUUAAGUCAGCGGUGAAAUCUAGGAGCUUAACUCCUAAAUUGCCAUUGAUACUGGCGGGCUUGAGUGUAGAUGAGGUAGGCGGAAUGCGUGGUGUAGCGGUGGAAUGCAUAGAUAUCACGCAGAACUCCGAUUGCGAAGGCAGCUUACUAAGGUACAACUGACGCUGAAGCACGAAAGCGUGGGUAUCAAACAGGAUUAGAUACCCCGGUAGUCCCUGUCUCUUAUAC
rnacentral:rRNA from 1 species